rnacentral:rRNA from 1 species
CAACGACUCUCGGCAACGGAUAUCUCGGCUCUCGCAUCGAUGAAGAACGUAGCGAAAUGCGAUACUUGGUGUGAAUUGCAGAAUCCCGUGAACCAUCGAGUCUUUGAACGCAAGUUGCGCCCGAAGCCUUUAGGCCGAGGGCACGCCUGCCUGGGCGUCUCACA